rnacentral:rRNA from 1 species
GAUGAACGCUGGCGGCGUGCCUAAUACAUGCAAGUCGAGCGAACAGACGAGGAGCUUGCUCCUCUGACGUUAGCGGCGGACGGGUGAGUAACACGUGGAUAACCUACCUAUAAGACUGGGAUAACUUCGGGAAACCGGAGCUAAUACCGGAUAAUAUAUUGAACCGCAUGGUUCAAUAGUGAAAGACGGUUUUGCUGUCACUUAUAGAUGGAUCCGCGCCGCAUUAGCUAGUUGGUAAGGUAACGGCUUACCAAGGCAACGAUGCGUAGCCGACCUGAGAGGGUGAUCGGCCACACUGGAACUGAGACACGGUCCAGACUCCUAAGGGAGGCAGCAGUAGGGAAUCUUCCGCAAUGGGCGAAAGCCUGACGGAGCAACGCCGCGUGAGUGAUGUAGGUCUUCGGAUCGUAAAACUCUGUUAUUAGGGAAGAACAAAUGUGUAAGUAACUAUGCACGUCUUGACGGUACCUAAUCAGAAAGCCACGGCUAACUACGUG